GCGUUUCAGACAGUUGUAUCAUCUGAAAUUGAGGAGUGCUAGAGAGAUGGCGCACUUCAUCCGAGCGUGCUGUGUGCUACACAAUCUCGCCGUGGAAGAUAACUUGGAGCUAGAAGAUAACGAAGGUGAAGAAGAUGAUGCACCGGCUGAAGAACGAGCAGUCGGCUUCUACAACAGGGAUGACAGAAGUGGCAUUGCGAAGAGAAAUAUGAUUGCGGCACAGUUGCAAAUGUAAAAGCAGCACCAGAUGCCCCAUCACCAACAUAUUACAACAAAUAUCAUACCAGUGAUGUGGAUGUUAGGAUGUAUUGUCACGGACUACAAGCAGGAGAUCAAGGUGAAGGAAGUCAACUGCAGGCCAUGGAGGAAGAAUAAAGGGCUGUCCAAGAAUAAUCAACAGCUGAGGGUGUUGGCUCAUUGUUUUUACAGGCUGAAGCUGAGGGCAUCAGAUGUCACGUCUGUGAAGAGCAACGGAGGAGUAGUGAUUAUAAACUGUAAUUUUGAACUGUGCAUUUGGUGAUUAUAGUUUCAGUGUAAUUGUGACUUGUCUUUGUGUUUGUAGUUAAAUUGUAAUUGUGAACUGUGCAUUUGAGUAUAUUACAAAUUUUAAUUGUAUAUUGUAACAUCCCACCCUCCUCUGCCAUCCUGAUCUGGGUCUUCCAUGGUUUCCCCAGAUAGUGUCGGGCGAAUGCCAGGAUGGGUCCCUAAGUCCAUGGCAGU